UGGAACAAGAAGUGAACUCUAUAAUCAAAAUUAUAACAACAUAAAGUUCGUUGAAUAACAUAAAAUGCUGCUAUAAGUUGAGCAAGCAACUGUGUUUAUUUACCCCUUAAUUAUAUUACUAACAUAAUACUGAACUUACAGUAUAGUUAGGCAGCAGCCCCAGUAGUAUAUCACAACCUGUGCAAUUACUAAUUUAUAAAAUGCAAAAGGAUGGACACUUGAAAACUAUGAUUGGUCAGGAACUGUUACAUCUUUUGCAAGUAGUAAAAUAAAUUACUCCAAGAAAUGAGCUUAGUUAUCACAACUGAAGUAGUCGACAUAACAUUCUUUUCAGCAACUUCUAAAGCAUCAUAGACCUCGUCUACUGGGACAGAUCACAUAUACAAAUGAGUGAGUGCACAAAGGUAAAAGAGUGAUAAUAAUUUCUGCAACAAUGGAAAAAGUAGACAAUAGAAAAAAAAAAUGAAACUCCUUAUCACCAUUACUAAAAGGCAAAUUUCAAUAAAAUAGCCCUAUUCAGCCCACUUCAUUUGGAAAAUUGUCUGGUGCAAAAAUGAGAAGAAGUAAUACUAACCUAGAAACACGCGAUCGGUAGUGGUGUGGCAUGGUGGUAGCAGAAGGCUAGAGAGAAGUGAGAAGACGACAUCAAGGCAGACGGGUGGGUUUUGCUGUAUUGGGUUGUUCUCGCACAGGCGAUAAAGGGAUAGAAUGAGGCCUUUCAAUCUAAGUUUUUCAUUUUCAUAUAUUAAAAAAAAAUCAGAGGCUCCUAAAUUGCUGGGCUGAUGGUUGAUUGAACGAUUGGUGGCUGAUUGAAGGUGGUAAUUUGGGAGAGAGUGGCGCGAACACAACAGGAUAAGAACAAAGACGCCGACCCUGUUUUCUUAAAAG
rnacentral:lncRNA from 1 species